GGUAAAAUAUAUACAUAUGUACAUAGGUAGGAAAUCGUGUACGUGUUUAAAGAUAAGGCACUUAAUUAAUUUUAAAGCAUGUGUUCUUUACGCAAUUAAAGUGCACUUGUCAUCCCGAUAACGAUAAGAGUGUAAACGUGGAAGGCAAACUUACCUGUCUAUGUGCGUAUACAACCGAACCGAGCAGCUUCCAGGUGCCGCCCCGCCGAUCCAUGCGCACCAUCCGAAGGAUCUGAAAGAACCGGAGGCCACGUAAAGCACUCGUGGCGAACACCUGGCCCGAGGUGCCCAUUCCUAAUACUACAAUUGAGGCUAAAAUGAAUGGUCGCUUCACGAACUUCAGUCGACCCAGGCAUCCCUGGUAUCGCGAUCGGCAGCCCGAUGACCAGAGUCGAGCUCCGAACUCCAUUGUGAACCAGAUAACCACCAGGAUCUCCAUGCGGAACAGAAUGUAGACGGCGUCCUCUUCGUACUCCUUGAUGGUGGAAAACACACUGAGCGCCAGGCAGGUGAACACCAUCAGGAAUCUUUAGACAAAAAGAAAUCGAAAAUUAUUGUAUAUAAAUGCUAUUUUCUAUAAUUUCAUUCAAUAAUUGCUAGUGUAAUGAAAUCAAUUUAUAAAAACUUCUAAAGAAAUUCACUUUUCUUACGUGAAA
rnacentral:sRNA from 1 species